rnacentral:rRNA from 1 species
UACAGAGGGUGCGAGCGUUAAUCGGAAUUACUGGGCGUAAAGCGCGCGUAGGCGGCUUUGCAAGUCGGGGGUGAAAUCCCCAGGCUUAACCUGGGAACUGCAUUCGAGACUGCAUUGCUAGAGUAUGGGAGAGGGAAGUGGAAUUUCCGGUGUAGCGGUGAAAUGCGUAGAUAUCGGAAGGAACAUCAGUGGCGAAAGCGACUUCCUGGACCAAUACUGACGCUCAUGUGCAAAAGCGUGGGGAGCAAACAGG